GAUGAACGCUGGCGGCGUGCUUAACACAUGCAAGUCGAACGGGAUCCAUCAGGCUUUGCUUGGUGGUGAGAGUGGCGAACGGGUGAGUAAUGCGUGACCGACCUGCCCCAUACACCGGAAUAGCUCCUGGAAACGGGUGGUAAUGCCGGAUGCUCCAGUUGAUCGCAUGGUCUUCUGGGAAAGCUUUCGCGGUAUGGGAUGGGGUCGCGUCCUAUCAGCUUGACGGCGGGGUAACGGCCCACCGUGGCUUCGACGGGUAGCCGGCCUGAGAGGGCGACCGGCCACAUUGGGACUGAGAUACGGCCCAGACUCCUACGGGAGGCAGCAGUGGGGAAUAUUGCACAAUGGGCGCAAGCCUGAUGCAGCGACGCCGCGUGAGGGAUGGAGGCCUUCGGGUUGUAAACCUCUUUUAUCGGGGAGCAAGCGAGAGUGAGUUUACCCGUUGAAUAAGCACCG
rnacentral:rRNA from 1 species